UAGGUGCGUUCGAGCUCAUGCUGCGCUGUGCAGUUCGAUCGGUGAGAUUAGCCGGAAGCAGUCGGGGAGGAGCUGAAAACGGAGCCGUCAAGUCGGACACGUUGGGGAUCUCGUUGCUUCCUCAAACAUGGCAGAUCACGUGGCGUUUGCCUACUUUAUUGCAGAUGAACUGGAAGCUAUAGAAAUACCUUUUUUUGUUGGAAGAAAUGCAGCAGGAUGAACAACGACGCUCCUCCACAACAGUUCCCAAACUGGUCAACAUCUUUUUUUUUUUAAAAAAAGAUCGUCUGCGCCUCUCUUUUAGUUGACGCCAUCUCUUCAGGUCCGGCCUUACAAGAGACUCAAGCACAGCUGUUCUUCGUUCUGCAUGCGCUUCAUAUGCCUCAAAAAAUUGUGAGGAUCUCUGCCUCCUGGACAUGCUUGUACUGGCAGAGGUCCCCGGCUGCUCGUCUACAGAAGCACCUGCUGCCUGAGCUUGAGGAAGAGAGAUUGAUGGAGGCCUGUUUUGAGAAGGUGGAUCUUCCACACAUAGAGGAGUAGAGCAGAUAGUUCCAGGUGGUGCAGUUCCUAUCCCAGAGGACCCAAA